CAGAUUGGUGAAUUUACCUGAGAGAUUGAGACUCAAGAUGAUGAGGAGGUGUGACUAGGACCGGAAGCAGAUGUCCAGGUGAAGUCUGUGAGUUUCGUCAAAAGACAAUGACAAUCAGAUCUACUGGAAAGAUUAAGUGAAUCGAUUUGAUUGGAACAUGCUCUCAACAGCCAGCCAAUAGGACGCGUCAGGACAAUCAUGCCCAUGAAAACUCUAAACUGUUCAGGUAACUU